GUUUGCGGCACUCAGGCUUCACAUUUUUUAGGCACAGUCAUGACCUACUACCCAAAGGACACUUUUGCAGAUGGAUCUGUCACAGUGACCGUUCGGUAUAAACUGAACUUCCACACAGCUGCCUGCAUAAAUGAUGAAACAUGGAAUUGCCUCAGUGGUGAUUGUGGGACUGGAACCUACACUCUACAUGUGGUAAAACAGGAGAGCAGUGGAGACUGGUGUCAGAGAGAGGGAAUCAUGACUCGACAGGUUCCCAGCAACGCUCUGUUUGAACUUCGGUUGGAGGGUAGUGAAUGGAUAUCCAACGUCAAAAAUGACAUUUCAUCAUGGAGAGCUGUGACUCGGGUGGAACUGAGGAACCGGUCCGACACCGGCAAAGCCAACACAUCACCUCAGACCACCAUCCUACCAGCUGUGGGAGUUCCUUCAAACUGUCAGAGAGAUUUCAGCCUGUUGAUGUUUGACCCUGAUGGAGACGAAGUUAAAUGCAGAUAUGGAAACUCUGCACUCUCAGAGUGUAACCCCUGCACUCCACCGUCUGUCCUCAGCCUCUCAUCGUCGUCUUGUACUCUGUCAUUCAGCCCCACCAGCAGCAGUAAUGAAGGUUCGUAUGUAGUACAGCUGGUGAUGGAGGACUUCCCCAGACAGACCAUCACUCUGACUCAAACCAACGGGACACAAACAACAAUAACUACCAACGAUGCCAUCAGCAAAAUACCGAUUCAGUUUGCUUUGAAAGUUGAUCCUGCAGUGCCAUCCUGCACAGAAGGACUCUUUCUGCCCAAGUUUCUUCCUCCAACACCAGCCAACGGAGCUCAGCUCUACAACAAUGUCAGUCAGACUCUGGAAAUUCACAUCACUGCAGAGGCACUUAACUCCACGGUCUCUGAGCUGCUCUACAGCGGGCCGUACAAUUUAAUCAGCAGUCCAUCAGGACCAGGACAGUUCACCCUGAGAUGGACACCAUCUGAAAGCGAAGAAGGACAAAGCCUCCCCAUCUGUUUUGCUGUCCAGGCAGUUUCUCGUGGGACCAAGUAUCACUCAGAGCUUCGAUGUGUCACUGUGACCGUUGUAAAAGGACCAGUAAUAACCACAACACCCGAAACGACUACACCCAGUGAACCAUCUUAUGUUCUCAAAUUGAAGAUUACCUCUUUGGUGGACUUGUCAAAAGUUGAUAGAAAUUACUUACUUACACAGACUGACAGAAACCAGAGUUGCUGUCACAGCGGGG
ensembl:lncRNA